AACGAACGCUGGCGGCAGGCCUAACACAUGCAAGUCGAACGCCGUAGCAAUACGGAGUGGCAGACGGGUGAGUAACGCGUGGGAACAUACCCCUCGGUUCGGAAUAACUUAGGGAAACUUGAGCUAAUACCGGAUACGUCCGAGGUUUUAAUCGGCCUUGGAGAAAGAUUUAUCGCCGGAGGAUUGGCCCGCGUCUGAUUAGCUUGUUGGUGAGGUAAUGGCUCACCAAGGCGACGAUCAGUAGCUGGUCUGAGAGGAUGAUCAGCCACAUUGGGACUGAGACACGGCCCAAACUCCUACGGGAGGCAGCAGUGGGGGAAUAUUGGACAAUGGGCGAAAGCCUGAUCCAGCCAUGCCGCGUGAGUGAUGAAGGCC
rnacentral:rRNA from 1 species